rnacentral:lncRNA from 1 species
GAUGGCGUAGGAACUAGAAGAAAAUGUGAUAAAUAUUUGGUGUCAUGAGAUGAAGAAAAUCAACCAUAAUGAGGAAAGAAGCCUACAGGCACAAGGAAGCUGGACCUUGGACAGGUAAAGUUCUCACUGAAGUCAAUUGGAGUUUGGACUGCCCGAGGGCUGCAGCAUCAGGCCCCAAGUCAUCUAUUAUAAAUAUUUUUGACACAUCAGAUUCAUACACAUUCAACUCCAGCUGAAAAGGAUGCUGUCAUCCUUAUUAUGCACCCUUGUGGAUUUGGAGGAGGUGGUGGGGUUCUUGACGCACAUCAUUUGCUUCCACAAAUCUCCAAAGUGAUGUCUCCUUUCCUAGAGCUGCUUUCCCAGCUGGCUCCAAUGGUUGAAGUUAAAAGGUUUAAAAAUCCCAUUAAUUUGGCAGCCUGGGUGGCUCAGCGGUUUAGCUCCACCUUCAGCCCAGGGCAUGAUCCUGGAGACCUGGGAUUGAGUCCCACAUCCAGUUCCCUGCAUGGAACCUGCUUCUCCCUCUGCCUGUGUCUCUGCCUCUCUCUCUCUCUCUGUCUCUCAUGAAUAAAUAAAUAAAAUCUUAAAAAAAAAAUAAAAAUAAAAACCC